rnacentral:lncRNA from 1 species
CAGGCUUCUCCUACAUCACGAGCAGGUUAUUCACUAAAGGGAGAAUUCAAAGUCAAUACAAUUAGAAUUUCAAAUUUAAGGGCAAAAUAGCAGAACUGGAAAUAUUCUAUAAUUCAGCUUUGCUUCCAGUUCGGCUUCUCUCACUUUAGAACCCUGUGGGUUUUGGAGUUAGUGAAUACAUAUAUGUACCAGGAGAUGCCACAUUUACGUUUCAAUAUAAUGGAAAUAGCAAUGCUUAAGUUCUUGAUCCAGACCUUCGGCACCCAGAUAUUGUGGACUACGUCUCCCAUGAUGCUUUGCUAGCAUCGUUGCUGUAAGAGCAUUGUUGAAGAUCUAGUCCACAACAUCUGUAGUGAUGGAAGUCAGAUACCCUGAUUCCCAAUAUAUAGUAACAUUCUAACUCGCUGUCAGUGUUCCCACGUUGGUUUUCUGCUCUAUGACACUGUAUUACCAUUCAUUGUAAAACAGGAUUUACUGCUGUAUAGUUUCCAAUAUAGAAGCGGACAGUGUUAUUUAUGUUCCGAUUUAAACCAGAAAUAUUGUUGCGUAACAAAUGCGUUAAAGACGUAAACAUGUGAACAAUAGACAGACUGUAUAGAAUCAUCCAUAAACGGAAGGUCCUGUCAGAGGGAACCUGCCCAUCGAAAAUUCCUUAACCGUUAAAUAAGUGUAUCACACAAUAGUGCAGUGUAGAAUUGAAGAAUAGAUUAUUCUCUUAGUUUCUCUUGCAUUAAAGCCUUCUUUAUCUGUUGACCUGCAGCACAGCCUGGUAGGGCAACAUGUGAUAUUUUGUAGCAGGCCUGUGUCUGUACAAAUACUUACAGAUAUUGAGGAAGUACAACUAACUUCCUCUUUAUGAAUCCUUAGCAGACAUUGUGGGCUUUGUGUACUGGAAACUCUUUAGAUUGUUCUGAUAUCCCUUGAAAACAGUUGGACAGCACCAAUAAUCUAAUACUAUAUCCACUACAACAGGAUGCAUGAAAAGCUAAUGUUUCCUACCACUGCAUGGACCACAAUAAAUACAGUGAACCAAAAGCUGUCCAAUCCCUCGAUAUACUGUUAUAGGCAGACAACUGCCUAAUACACCGGGUCAGGAACUUCCCAAUCCUACCCAAACUGCUACAUUGCAACCAUUCUCUGAUACUGUAGCUAACGGACAUCUACUUUUCUGGUUAGUGUGAAUCAAUGAGACAGUUGGAUUAUCUUCACAAAGAACCCUGGCGUAAUCAUGGGCAAUAAUCUCCCGUUAAAACCCCAAUCCGCAGCAAAAACAAAAAGACUAACUGAAAAUACUACAAGUACACAAAAUAAUACAGCGUCCAGGUAACACGGACUCAAAGAGCAGUCACUGAACCAGUACCAUUGAUCUGGUCUACAACAUAGGUUUAUAUGUGAACAUAACAGAUUACAGUCUAUUCAGAACAAUACAGCUACAAUAAUCUAGGAAACAAAUCCCUUUCAAACAACUGUACACAAGGAACAAAACCAGACUGAUACACUAUCUAAACAUACAGAAGAUACUUGGCUCUUUGACAUUUCUUGCUAUCAUUCACCAACAUCCCUUGUUAAUUUCCACCACAUCCCAUUUUCUUUCUGACCACUGCCUCCAAUUAAGCAUAUUUGAGUAUGUUCCCCAAAUAAAGUUUGAGACAAGCAUUCUUCUGACUAUAAACUCUCUUUAUUAUAUGGUUCACGUUUGCUGCUAACACAGCAUGUCCACAACUAUAUUAAAUUAUAAACAAUAAUAAAACAAAACUGUGAUGGAUGGCCGGAUUUGUUUGGUGCAAGCCAUAAACUUGCAGCGCCAUUUUUGUGACUGUUUUCUACGUAUCUAGAUAUCGCUGUAUUGUGUAUCUAAACCAGGGCCGGCCUUAGGCCUUUAGGCGCCCUUUACAAAACAUCUUCGCAGCGCCACCCCUCCCCUGUCUUCCAUGUAUAGUGUGUGUAUAGAAGUAUUGAUUGUAUAGGGGAUUUAUUAAAUUAACCCCUUAAGGACACAUGAUGGAAAUACUCCAUCAUGAUUCCCUUUUAUUCCAUAAGUUGUUUCAUUAAGGGGUUAAUAAUGAUUUAAAAAUAAAUAUUCAUUACACACACACACACACACACACACACACACAGUUACAGGCAGACAAUUACAAACACCCACAACUACAGAUGGACAGUCAAGUACAUACAGCCACAUAUACAGUGUCACACACACACACACACACACCGUUACAUGCAGUCACACACAUACAGGCAGACAGCUGCAGACUGCCACACACACACACAAGCAGACAGCCACGCACACAGGCAGAGAGCCGCACACAGGCAGACAGCCGCACACAGACACACACAGUUAUCUCUAUUUAUUAUGGAGGUGGAAGUAGUGCAGCUCCUGAAUUCUGGUUGUUGGGGAAGCAGGGACUCCUUCCUGCUUCCCAUGCAGCAAUUACCCGGCCCUUCUAGCCGCGCCCCGCCGCAUGCAAUGUUUUUUUUUUAUAUCCCGGGUGGAGAAUAAUGAAAUCCUCCACCCAGGUAGCCGUCAAUGUGUGAGCUGUCGGUCGCAGGGAGCCCCCUGCUUCAUGGCGUCCUGUGCGGCCGCACAGCUCGCACACCCCUAAGGCAAGCCCUGACCUAUAUUAUACAUAAAACAGUGUGUGGAGGAGCAGCUCUAUAAACUAUAGUUAGGUGUGAAAUGUAAUAUUGUAAAGCGAUACGGAAUAUGUUGGCGCUAUAUAAAUGGCAAUGAUAAUAAUAAAUGUAUUCUGUGGGCUAUUCAAGUUAAAUGCUACACUGUGAGUGACCACCUGCUGUGGGAGCCAGAAAGUCUAUCUACUACAGCAAAGGGCUGUGUUGAUGUAACCAGAGAUUUCUCUGGAGGGACAGUGGGUGCAAUCAAGAUAACCUUUUGUUGUCAGGGUGUAUUGGUACAGGGGGAGGUGGUAACUAGUGUAAGGAAUCACUUUGUAUCUUUGUAGUUCUUCUCCUGUGACCUGUUCUGUAUUUCCAUUGGUGAAUGUUUUGUGUAAUGUUUAUUUCACUGUAUGCUGUGAUCUGUGUAAGCUGGGUCUGGAUACAAUAAACAGUCAGAGUGAGUCUGAGCUCUGAGGAGUUGUCAAGAAAGAAGUUGGUGUUGUCUCUACCUUGAGGUCUCACAAGAUAUGGCUUUUCAUUGUCGUUUAUAGAGUAAUUACUAAUAAGGGUAUUGCCAGAAGACUGGAUGGAUAGAAUAUCAUGUAGUAACCAGAUAUCCGCUCAGUAUAUCCUGCGGACGCUACCAAAGAGGAGUCCUAGCAUUUAGUGGAGCAGUUUAGUGCUGCAAGUUAUGUUAAAAGACCCACGGAUGAUAUAUUAAGACCGUAUCGUCACAAAAACCUAUAUGUAAAGUCCAACAAAUAUUUGGGAAAAUUCUGAGAACGAAGAAAAUAAAAUACACCAAUAUAAUCACUGUGUGGGCAGCUUUAUGUGUAGAUGGGAUUGCUAUAUGUGACCAUUUAUAUAUGAAAUAAACAGAUUUUGGACAGAGAAUGUAAAUGUUACGAGUUGGGUGUAUAGCAUCUUUGCUAGAUAUGAGACACACACGGCAAGGUCUGAGAUUGUAUCCAAAAAGACGAUUGGGGACCUCAUCUGCUUUUCAGACAGGUAUUGGAGUUCUCUGUGCCAUUUAGGUCUCAGUUGUGUCAUUUUCUAUUUAAGGUACUAAAUACAGGUUAGGUUACAGGUAUACUGGGUGCUUUUUUUGGUUUUAACUUUUAAAUAUCAUCUAUUAAAACAUUACUUGGCUAAAUAAUCCUUGCCUUUAUGCCUCUUACUACCAACCUUCAGUGUGUCCCCUGUGGCUCCAUUUAUGAUGCCAUACAUGACAAAAUGAUGCAGGCUUCUGGAAGGUACAGUCGAGCUGGUCGUUUUAUACAUCAGAAAGCGGUCACGUUAAAACGCUCACAAAUCCUUGCUGUAGCCAUAAAGUACUGAUUAUAGGAUAAUCCUGACAGCGCUACAGAACGUUGAGUAGCAGCCACUUGCUGGUAUGAGAGCUCACUGUAGAUUCUGCAAUGCAUGGAGAUUUGCAGGAACCUCAACUAGGAGGAUUUGUUUCUCCCCCAUACUUUUUAUAGAUCAUGCAAUAAUACGAAUGAAUCACAUACAUACUCGGGAAUUCAAAGCAAAUUUGGACAUUAACACCAAACUAGCCACUAGGAAAUAGUUUCCCGUUCAUAUAGGCUUUUCAUUUGUCUAUAAAUGUGAAACUCCUUUUUGAAUUCUAGACAAUGUACAUUUUAAUGAAUAUAACAGAAAAUUACCUAAGGAUAGGAAAAACCUAUCCUCAGGGAAUGGAAAGGGUUACAGAGGUAAGAGAAGGCAUAACCCUUGAAACCAAAUAAUGAAAAGAACUAAUGUUUAGCUUCAGCCUAGGAAAGCCAGCCAGCCAGCCCCACAGAAAUGACCUAUUGUGUAGAGAUCAAUAUAAG